rnacentral:rRNA from 1 species
AGCAGCAGUAGGGAAUCUUCCACAAUGGGCGAAAGCCUGAUGGAGCAACGCCGCGUGGGUGAAGAAGGUCUUCGGAUCGUAAACCCUGUUGUUAGAGAAGAAAGUGCGUGAGAGUAACUGUUCACGUUUCGACGGUAUCUAACCAGAAAGCCACGGCUAACUACGUGCCAGCAGCCUCGGUAAUACGUAGGUGGCAAGCGUUAUCCGGAUUUAUUGGGCGUAAAGGGAACGCAGGCGGUCUUUAAGUCUGAUGUGAAAGCCUUCGGCUUAACCGGAGUAGUGCAUUGGAAACUGGGAGACUUGAGUGCAGAAGAGGAGAGUGGAACUCCAUGUGUAGCGGUGAAAUGCGUAGAUAUAUGGAAGAACACCAGUGGCGAAAGCGGCUCUCUGGUCUGUAACUGACGCUGAGGUUCGAAAGCGUGGGUAGCAAACAGGAUUAGAUACCCUGGUAG